UUAGAGAGAGUUCAAGAGUACGUGAAACCGUUCAGGGGUAAACCUGAGAAACCCAAAAGAUCGAAUGGGGAGAUUCAUCGUCAGCUCAUUUUGUAUAUAUAUGAGUUAUGAUAUGGGUUACUACUUGUAGUAUUGCCUGUACAUUCUUAUAUAUUUUAUUGCAAGAUGUUGUCGGCGUGCACUUCUCCCCUAGUAGGACGUCGCGACCCGUUGAGUGUCGGUCUACGGCCCAAGUGGUAGCCUUUGAUUCUUGUAAUUAAAGACCCUUGGUGUUUCCUGGCUGACUGCUCGGCGGUAUUCGUACGGUAUUAAGCCGCUUUUAAGCGUUCAUAUCCGUCGCAAGCGCGGUCAAUUUUUGGUAGUACGGACCUAGUGCCGUCGCUAUAAUUGAUCAGCUGUUGGUUGUACGGUAUUCUAGAACUGGCUUAACAUAUACCGGUCUGCGAUGCUACUGCUUUGGG
rnacentral:rRNA from 1 species